rnacentral:tRNA from 1 species
GGAGAUGUGGUUCAAGUGACAGAGUACCUGUCUAGCAAACAGAAGGCCCUAAGUUCAAAGCCCAGUAACUCCA